rnacentral:rRNA from 1 species
CCUACGGGGUGCAGCAGUGGGGGAUAUUGCACAAUGGGGGGAACCCUGAUGCAGCGACGCCGCGUGUGGGAAGACGGUCCUCUGGAUUGUAAACCACUGUCCCCAGGGACGAAAAUGACGUUACCUGGGGAGUCAGCUCCGGCUAACUACGUGCCAGCAGCCGCGGUAAUACGUAGGGAGCGAGCGUUGUCCGGAAUUACUGGGUGUAAAGGGAGCGUAGGCGGGGAUGCAAGUUGGGUGUCAAAACUACCGGCUCAACUGGUAGUCGCACUCAAAACUGCAGCUCUUGAGUGAAGUAGAGGAAGGCGGAAUGCCUAGUGUAGCGGUGAAAUGCGUAGAUAUUAGGAGGAACACCAGUGGCGAAGGCGGCCUGCUGGGCUUUUACUGACGCUGAGGCUCGAAAGUGUGGGGAGCAAACAGGAUUAGAUACCCCAGUAGUC